rnacentral:lncRNA from 1 species
GAGAGAGGAAUUGAGAUGAACUUGGGGAAGAAGUCGAGCUAAGAGGGCCAGCCGGCCUUGUAUUACUAUAAAGUGUAUUAACUAUAUGUUGUAGGCAGUGGCUGAAUUCAGAAUAAGGGGAUGGCUGUUAUAUAGCCCGACACAGCAAGAAGUAAAACAGUAAUUAACUGUAUCAUAUCCGGCGAGCAGUGCGAGCCGUCGAUCCUCUUUUCACUUCCAUCGUAAGCCGUCGGAUAACUGAACGAAACAGUACGCUUGACGAACAGGGCUGAUGCCUGACACUGAAGGAUAUGUACAGAGAACAAGUGGAUCUUCUUGUUAUCCAGGUUUGAAUCAUAUCAGUCAGUUUAAACUCUCCUUUCCAUCGUACGGACCUAAUGAACCGUGUAGCCCUAAAACAUCAUAUUUUCUUCUUCUGUUCUUUUACCAGCUCCAGACAUUGGGUGCUCGUGUAUAGUGUGCUAUUGACCAAAGACAAGAGUUUUGAAGGCUGAACAAGUCCCAUCAAAACCGCAGCGAGUGUGGGAAGUUCAUAGUCAUGCGAGAUAUAUUGAUUUUGUGUACACCGUGACGGAUCUUUGUUGUCGAUUUCAGUAGGAUAUAGUGUGUUGUACACUUAGACUGAAUAGCUUCACAGUUUUACACAUUGCUUGCAAAUG